UACGUAGGGGGCAAGCGUUGUCCGGAAUUAUUGGGCGUAAAGAGCGCGUAGGCGGCUCGGUAAGUCCGCUGUGAAAGUCAAGGGCUCAACCCUUGAAGGCCAGUGGAUACUGCCGGGCUAGAGUCCGGAAGAGGCGAGUGGAAUUCCCGGUGUAGCGGUGGAAUGCGCAGAUAUCGGGAGGAACACCAAUGGCGAAGGCAGCUCGCUGGGACGGUACUGACGCUAAGGCGCGAAAGCGUGGGGAGCAAACAGG
rnacentral:misc_RNA from 1 species